rnacentral:rRNA from 1 species
GCCUACGGGGGGCAGCAGUAGGGAAUAUUGCUCAACGGGGGAAACCCUGAAGCAGCAACGCCGCGUGGAGGAUGAAGGUUUUCGGAUUGUAAACUCCUUUUGUUAGAGAAGAUAAUGACGGUAUCUAACGAAUAAGCACCGGCUAACUCCGUGCCAGCAGCCGCGGUAAUACGGAGGGUGCAAGCGUUACUCGGAAUCACUGGGCGUAAAGAGCGCGUAGGCGGGAUAGCAAGUCAGAUGUGAAAUCCUAUGGCUUAACCAUAGAACUGCAUUUGAAACUGUUAUUCUAGAGUAUGGGAGAGGUA